UAGGGAAUAUUAGAAAUGGACGAAAGUCUGAUCUAGCAACACCGCGUGUGCGAAGAAGGCCUUCGGGUCGUAAAGCACUUUUUGGAAGGAAUAGGAAGGAAUGUACUUCCAGAAUAAGUCUCGGCUAACUACGUGCCAGCAGCCGCGGUAACACGUAGGAGGCGAACGUUAUCCGGAUUUACUGGGCGUAAAGCGCGUGUAGGUGGUUCUGUAAGUAGGGCGUGAAAGCUCCUGGCUCAACUGGGAGAGGCCGUUCUAAACUACAGAACUAGAGGAUGGUAGAGGGAGGUGGAAUUCCGGGUGUAGCGGUGGAAUGCGCAGAUAUCCGGAGGAACACCAGUGGCGAAAGCGGCCUCCUGGACCAUUCCUGACACUCAGACGCGAAAGCUAGGGCAGCGAACG
rnacentral:rRNA from 1 species